AAGCGUGAAGGCCCUUCUUUGAGUUCUUUCUCUCACAACUUCAAAACCUAGCCUCUAUCGUCUCUUCGGUGAAUUUGGUGGCCACCGAUUUGAAAGACACCACUUGUUCUUUCAAUUUUCAAGGUUUUGAUUCAAUCAUACUUCAUAUGUCUCGAAAUUGUUUGGGCUCGCACAAGAAAGUGAUGUUCGAGGAUUUCAAGAAAUUUGAAAAUGCAAGUGUGAAGGAAUAUGUACACGUUUGUGUUAAUGUCUAUGGUUCUUCUCUCGAAUGCCUUGGAGCCUGAUUGGAUUACCAGUAGAUGUUAAGCAUGUGGCACACAUUGGGUGGGAUGACCCCUCCGAUACUGCACCUAGUUGGGUGCAUAUUAUUGAAUCGCCUUAUCUCAAGGUUCUACUCUUUCUCCAUGGUCAUGUUAAGGUUUAUUGACAAACUGCAACUAGACAUUCCCGAUGAACUGGUCAAGAAACAGUUAAUGGGGCUAUGUGUUAUCUAUUACCUAGUCCACCUUCCCAACACACCAGGGUAAUUUCAUUGCUACAAGCUGCAUAACUCAUAAGCAGACUUGCUAAUAAUCAACUCAAAGUCUUGUAUUCUUUUAUUGGACUUUCGUUGACUCACUAGUACUCUAUUAUUUAUUUAUUCUUUUGCUGGAUGCUUGUAAAUUGAAAAUUACCUAGUUUGGAUUUGGAUGAACUGUAAAUUUUGUUACAUUUGUGUUUUUGUAAAAUAUUUUGGAUUCAAUAUUACA